rnacentral:lncRNA from 1 species
GUGUCCCCCACAACCAAAAUCCUCCCAUGUCCUCAGGACUGCUCAAGUCCCCCUGUCUGUCCCGUCCACUCACCCAAAGAUGACUUUUCUUUCCUGUGCUUUAGCUGGUGUUUUGAGAGUCAGCCAUGAGCUUUAUAUGUGAUUUUUUCUUUAAAGAAAAGAAAGAGGAAGCCACACUGGCCAAAGGUGACAGCAGUUGCUAUUCUUGCGUGGAAUUUCCUUCUGUGCUU